UGAACGCUGGCGGCGUGCCUAAUACAUGCAAGUCGCGCGAACAGACGAGGAGCUUGCUCCUCUGACGUUAGCGGCGGAUGGGUGAGUAACACGUGGAUAACCUACCUAUAAGACUGGGAUAACUUCGGGAAACCGGAGCUAAUACCGGAUAAUAUAUUGAACCGCAUGGUUCAAUAGUGAAAGACGGUUUUGCUGUCACUUAUAGAUGGAUCCGCGCCGCAUUAGCUAGUUGGUAAGGUAACGGCUUACCAAGGCAACGAUGCGUAGCCGACCUGAGAGGGUGAUCGGCCACACUGGAACUGAGACACGGUCCAGACUCCUACGGGAGGCAGCAGUAGGGAAUCUUCCGCAAUGGGCGAAAGCCUGACGGAGCAACGCCGCGUGAGUGAUGAAGGUCUUCGGAUCGUAAAACUCUGUUAUUAGGGAAGAACAAAUGUGUAAGUAACUAUGCACGUCUUGACGGUACCUAAUCAGAAAGCCACGGCUAACUACGUG
rnacentral:rRNA from 1 species